AGCAGUAGCCGCGGUAAUACAGAGGGUGCAAGCGUUAAUCGGAAUUACUGGGCGUAAAGCGCGCGUAGGUGGUUUGUUAAGUUGAAUGUGAAAUCCCCGGGCUCAACCUGGGAACUGCAUCCAAAACUGGCAAGCUAGAGUAGGGCAGAGGGUGGUGGAAUUUCCUGUGUAGCGGUGAAAUGCGUAGAUAUAGGAAGGAACACCAGUGGCGAAGGCGACCACCUGGGCUCAUACUGACACUGAGGUGCGAAAGCGUGGGGAGCAAACAGGAUUAGAUACCCCAGUAGUCCCUGUCUCUUAUAA
rnacentral:rRNA from 1 species